CGACAGAUGACUACAAUUCCCGGCAGGCGCGGCGUCCCGAGAGCUGCAGCCGUUCGAGGCGGAAGCGUCGGAUAAAAUCGAGACAUUUGUUGAGUUGUUCUUUUUGGAGAGAAAUAUUAUAAAAGCAGGAAUAAAGGAUGGUCUGACUAAUCAUUAAUGCCUGCCGCUAUGUGGCAAACAAGAUCAGCAGUGUUCUAAGCAAGCAGGGAAGUCCAUCCUCUGGCGAGUCCAAGGCACAAAGCAGCCAAGUCAAAGAUGAAAAGUAUGAUCCGGUAAAUGCAUCGCAGGAUGACGACUUGCUCCCAGAAACGCUGCCAAAAUCGGGACCUGUGGCCCAGCAAUGUGGGUCCUGAGGAUAGAGACUGCACCAGUCUAGCUCUUGGAAAUGCAGAUUGGUGCACUGCGGCCUCCACCUGACAAGGUGGUAUAUCCACUCAACGGCAAAGAAUGAAGAUGUGCUCAGCAACUCGCUGACCAGGGAGAUGAGCAUUUCUGAAAAUACUUGCUGUGUUUUUAAAGUUUUCCAAUUAAAAAUUAAUCAUGCUUAA